rnacentral:rRNA from 1 species
AUGCGGACGAUGAAAAAACAAUUUGGUUAUGAAGUCAAGUAUGGGAAGGCAUGGAAGGCAAAGGCAAAUGCUAUUAGGAUGUUGUAUAGUGGUUAUGAAGAAGCAUACAACCAGCUCCCGAGGUUGUUGGGCGCGAUUGCACAUAAGAACCCGGGCAUGUUUCAUGUGGUCGAGGAUGACGAGGGAGUGUUCCACCGUGCCUUCUGGAGUUAUGGACAAUGUGUGGAGGCGUUUCAGCAUUGUCGUCCGGUCUUGUCUAUAGAUGGCACGUUCUUGACCGGUAGAUACAAGGGCACACUAAUGGUAGCAAUGGCGCACUCAUCAAACGACAACGUGUUGCCAGUUGCAUUUGCUUUGGUGCCUUCCGAGCACCAAGACAACUGGGAGUGGUUCAUGGGUCAUGUUAGGCACAACGUGAUUGGGGCUAGGGAGGUAUGCAUCAUAUCGGACCGGCACCAUGGCAUACUCAAGGCAAUGGACAUUGUUAUUCCAGGAUUUCCAAAGCUUCACCACAGAUGGUGCAUGAGGCAUUUCGUGGCGAACUUUUACCGGGCAUGUAAGAGCAAGGAGCUCAGCAAAGACCUUACCCAUGUAUGUGUGGCCUUCACCACCCAAGGUUUCGAUGCUCGGUACAACAAACUCUUUGCAGCGGUGAACGAAGGGGGAAAGAGUUCUUAA